GAUGAACGCUGGCGGCGUGCCUAAUACAUGCAAGUCGAGCGAACGGACGAGAAGCUUGCUUCUCUGAUGUUAGCGGCGGACGGGUGAGUAACACGUGGAUAACCUACCUAUAAGACUGGGAUAACUUCGGGAAACCGGAGCUAAUACCGGAUAAUAUUUUGAACCGCAUGGUUCAAAAGUGAAAGACGGUCUUGCUGUCACUUAUAGAUGGAUCCGCGCUGCAUUAGCUAGUUGGUAAGGUAACGGCUUACCAAGGCAACGAUGCAUAGCCGACCUGAGAGGGUGAUCGGCCACACUGGAACUGAGACACGGUCCAGACUCCUACGGGAGGCAGCAGUAGGGAAUCUUCCGCAAUGGGCGAAAGCCUGACGGAGCAACGCCGCGUGAGUGAUGAAGGUCUUCGGAUCGUAAAACUCUGUUAUUAGGGAAGAACAGAUGUGUAAGUAACUGUGCACAUCUGGACGGUACCUAAUCAGAAAGCCACGGCGAACUACGU
rnacentral:rRNA from 1 species